rnacentral:lncRNA from 1 species
GGUGAGCAGAAACAAGCCAAGGAGUUUUGGAUGAGGUUUACUUGUUUUUGUCGUAAAAUCUCAACGGAAACUCCGAUUGAGACGAAACCAAAAGCGUUUCGAUGAGAAUUCAAAGGAGAACGCAAAGGAGGAGCCCUUUGAGGCCUGACAGGUUGCUAUAGCGAGUGAGGAUGUCAUCUCGGUCGCUAUAGCGAGUGGAAGGGAGCCGAGACGAGUCCCACUUGUUUUCGUCGUAAAAUCUCAACGGAAACUCCGAUUGAAACGAAACGAAAAGCAUUUUGAACAGGAUUCAAAGGAGAACGCAAAGGAAGAACCCUUUGAGGACUUACAGGUCGCUACGUAGCGACUGACAAUCUGACAGGUCGCUACG